GGAUGUGAGGGCGAUCUGGCUGCGACAUCUGUCACCCCAUUGAUCGCCAGGGUUGAUUCGGCUGAUCUGGCUGGCUAGGCGGGUGUCCCCUUCCUCCCUCACCGCUCCAUGUGCGUCCCUCCCGAAGCUGCGCGCUCGGUCGAAGAGGGCGACCUUCCCCGAAUAGAGGAGGACCGGUCUUCGGUCAAGGGUAUACGAGUAGCUGCGCUCCCCUGCUAGAACCUCCAAACAAGCUCUCAAGGUCCAUUGAUUGCAUUUUUAAAACAAGUUUUCUGAAUUUGCAAAAUGAGUUUUGAUAUACUACCAUGCAUU
rfam:Mesocricetus auratus contig084770, whole genome shotgun sequence.